rnacentral:rRNA from 1 species
UACGUAGGGGGCAAGCGUUGUUCGGAAUUACUGGGCGUAAAGCGCGCGUAGGCGGAUUGGCAAGUCAGGUGUGAAAGCCCCGGGCUCAACUUGGGAACUGCAUUUGAUACUGCCAGACUAGAGUACAGAAGAGGUGACUGGAAUUCCCAGUGUAGCGGUGAAAUGCGUAGAUAUUGGGAGGAACACCAGGUGCGAAGGCGGGUCACUGGGCUGAUACUGACGCUGAUGCGCGAAAGCCAGGGGAGCGAACGGG